AACGAACGCUGGCGGCAGGCCUAACACAUGCAAGUCGGACGAGAAGGUUCCUUCGGGAACUGGAGAGUGGCGCACGGGUGAGUAACGCGUGGGGACCUACCUUUUAGUGGGGGAUAACGGUUGGAAACGACCGCUAAUACCGCAUACGCCCUUUUGGGGAAAGAUUUAUCGCUAAAAGAUGGACCCGCGUUGGAUUAGAUAGUUGGUGAGGUAACGGCUCACCAAGUCUUCGAUCCAUAGCUGGUUUGAGAGGAUGAUCAGCCACACUGGGACUGAGACACGGCCCAGACUCCUACGGGAGGCAGCAGUGGGGAAUAUUGGACAAUGGGCGGAAGCCUGAUCCAGCCAUGCCGCGUGAGUGAAGAAGCCUUCGGGUUGUAAAGCUCUUUCAGAUGCGAAGAUGAUGACGGUAACAUCAGAAGAAGCCCCGGCUAAUUUCGUGC
rnacentral:rRNA from 1 species